rnacentral:tRNA from 1 species
GUAGAGAUGGCUCAGUGGUUCAGAGCACUGGAUGCUCUUCCAGAGGACCUGGGUUCGAUUCCCAGUGCCAACA